GCAUGGGGGACGCGCCGCUUCCUCCGCAGGUGCCGGGUCAGCGGUACUCAGAGACUAGCUUGCAUUCCCGGCUUCUGCGGCGCUAUUUCUGCGGCAGCCCCUGGGGGAGGCGUUGCUGCGCCCCGGGAUCGCCACCGAGUGUCGCUCCCUCGCCGAGAGCUGGUCGCCCCGGCACGUCAUCCUCACGGCCCACGUGCCAGCGCGGGCCCGACCCGCAGCGCAGGACACACCGGCAGCCGGGCCGGCCCGGGUCUGCGGCCCCCACAGCGCUCCGCCGCCUCCGGUUGGGUGCCGGGUGGGCCGGGGCGACGGCGUGAUGGAGACGGGCACCAUCCGACGGAGGGCUGAAACAUGACUCCGGCGUGACGGGGACGGCUGGCUGAGGGGCCGAGCACGGAGCCUGUGAACAGCCAGGCGGCCUUCUACAGCGCAGGGGCCUCCGCCCCAGGGCCGAGGGGCCGGCUGGCCGCCCGGAGCAGAGGCUGAAGUGAAGGACAGCAGCGGCAGAGCUGGCCGGACACCCAGGUCGCAGCUCGGGGCUGGUGGAGCUGCUGCCGAGGGCAGGCAGGAGCUCAGGGGGCUGCUGGGGGUCAGGGGAGGCGCCCUGAGCCAGGCAGGCCGCGCGGUGUGCUGGCUACGCUUCUUACCUGUCGAGGCACACGGCCCAUGCCACUCACAUCUCCACAGGCAGCCUCAGUGUCCACCUAGAGUGUGGUGCUCGCAGCACGGGGCCCUCCCAGGAACGGUGUGACCAGCACAGGUAGUAACAGGACCAGGGGUCCCCGGGAGAGGUGAGAGUGGCCUGUCCCCCUGGCCCACAGGUUCUGCUGGGAAUGCAGGACCUGCCUCUUUAUCCCAGCCACUCCUCAAGACGGUGUCUGCAGCCAGCAGCCUUGAAGGAUGAGGGGAGGUCGCCUCCAGUCGAGGGCAGGCCUGCCCACGCGCACUCUCAGAGUGCCAGUAGCAGCAGCCACAUGCUGUCACCAGGACAGGGACUGAACCGUGAGCAUCCGUCUCUCCGCACAAGGACACCACAGGAACCAGGAGCCUGUGGCCACUUUGCAGCACAGGGGCUCCAGGCACAGGUGCCAGGGAACCCAGAGGCCCCUCCUGGACCACAGGCACGGAUCAUGCAUGCAGCAGGCCUCCCUCAGCUAAGCUGGGUGGAAAGACAGCGGCCUGGAGCUCUGACCUCCCCGGGCUGAGUCCUCCUCCUGCACGAUGCACACCCGUCCCGGGGGUCAGGAUCCACAUCCCUGCUCUGACGGUCGAGGGGACCACAGCUUCUCACUCAGGGGGACAAGCUGCAGGCUGAGGUGGGCAGAGCAAGGGACAGACAGCGCAUGAUGAAUCGAGCCUAGGCCACGCUGCUCCCGGACGUGCGCCACACAUGGGCUGUCUCCCAACUCUGCGGUCAGAGGAGCAGCCAUCCUCAGCACAAGGCCACCCCGGGUUCGGGCACCACUGCCUCGCACCAAGGAGAAGCAGGAGAGCUGGCCACGUCCGGGCAGCCCAGGGGAGCCCAUGUGCUGACCGAGUGGGCCCAGGGCAUGGGCAUCAGGGAGGAGAGCGAGUGUCCGGGCCCGAGACCACCACCAUCCUUGACAACCUGUGACAAUUCUGGAGUCAGUGGCCCUGGAGCUGGCAAGCUGGAGAGCAGAUCGAGCCCCAUGGCUGGCUGCAGGGCACCCAAGCUGCCGUGGACUCAGCUGAUCCACUGUUCAGGUGCUCGUCAUGAACCCAUGUGUCACCUUUACCGGCCCCUCUGGGACUCUGGGGCUGCUUGUGCGGAAUGCCUGCCCCUGCCCAGAGCUCAGGGUCCUAUGCAUUUGCGGGGAGAGGCGCCCAGCCCCGUGCAUGCAGAGGGGCCAGUCUGCUCAGCCUCCUGGACCCACUCCCCCUCCCCAGCCCGGGCAAACAGGCUGCUCUGGAGAUAAGCCCCAGGGAGAGGCCAGCAUGCAGCAGGGUGCAGCCAGCUGUUCCCUAAAAGGCCGGUGGGAGAGCUUGGCUUUGCACCCACACAGCCUAUGGGCCAACUGCUCGGCUCUCACGGAGUGAAGCAGCGGCAGACAGCUGGGCCGGCAGGGCGCUGUGCUCCAGAACACUUGGCUCACGGCCCUGAAGUGUGAAGGCAAGGAAGUAUGACAUCAGGAAAUGGCUCUCUUGAUUUCCUUCAACCAUUUCAGAAUGUAAACUGUGUAUCUUGGGGGCCA